AGCGAACGCUGGCGGCAGGCCUAACACAUGCAAGUCGAACGAACCCUUCGGGGUUAGUGGCGGACGGGUGAGUAACACGUGGGAACGUGCCUUUAGGUUCGGAAUAACUCAGGGAAACUGGGUCUAAUACCGAAUGUGCCCUACGGGGGAAAGAUUUAUCGCCAAAGGAGCGACCCGCGUCUGAUUAGCUAGUUGGUGAGGUAAAGGCUCACCAAGGCUACGAUCAGUAGCUGGUCUGAGAGGAUGAUCAGCCACAUUGGGACUGAGACACGGCCCAAACUCCUACGGGAGGCAGCAGUGGGGAAUCUUGCGCAAUGGGCGAAAGCCUGACGCAGCCAUGCCGCGUGAAUGAUGAAGGUCUUAGGAUUGUAAAAUUCUUUCACCGGGGACGAUAAUGACGGUACCCGGAGAAGAAGCCCCGGCUAACUUCGUGCCAGCAGCCGCCGUAACAC
rnacentral:rRNA from 1 species